rnacentral:rRNA from 1 species
AUUGAACGCUGGCGGCAUGCCUUACACAUGCAAGUCGAACGGUAACGCGGGGCAACCUGGCGACGAGUGGCGAACGGGUGAGUAAUGCAUCGGAACGUGCCCAGUAGUGGGGGAUAGCCCGGCGAAAGCCGGAUUAAUACCGCAUACGACCUACGGGUGAAAGCGGGGGACCGCAAGGCCUCGCGCUAUUGGAGCGGCCGAUGUCAGAUUAGGUUGUUGGUGAGGUAAAGGCUCACCAAGCCGACGAUCUGUAGCUGGUCUGAGAGGACGACCAGCCGCACUGGGACUGGGCCGCGGCCCAGACUCCUACGGGAGGCAGCAGUGGGGAAUUUUGGACAAGGGGCGCAAGCCUGAUCCAGCCAUGCCGCGUGCGGGAAGAAGGCCUUCGGGUUGUAAACCGCUUUUGUCGGGGAAGAAAUCUUCUGGGCUAAUACCCCGGGAGGAUGACGGUACCUGGAGAAUAAGCACCGGCUAACUACGUGCCAGCAGCAGCCGCAG